ACAGGGGGCGACGCAGGAGGGAACCCAAGGCCACGAGCUCCAUCUCGUCCUCCCCUUCCCGACCCAGAAAACGCUCUAAUCUACAGGGGGAGGAGAAGCCGCACGGAGGCAGGGGGCUGGACAUAAUGAUCUCUUCCCCAUCCCACCUCCACCCAUCCCACCAUCUGUAUCAAGCCUCCGACUUCCAAGGACAUUUCCAUAUCCCCCCAGACAUUUUGGGAUACCAGCCUGGAGACCUAAAUGUACCCAGAAUCCCCCGCCUUUUUAUCGGUGGAUUUCAGCCCUCAAAGCGUUCCGUGAGCCUCUGACCGCCCAAAUCCAUCACACAUGAGUUGGAAUGCCAGGGACCAUUCCCGGCCAAACGUUAGAUUACAGGAGUAAGAGAGAAGAGGAGGGACUGUCCGAGGUGCCUCGGCACUAUGGCUGCACAGCUGGAUCUCUGGACACGGAGCCCUGGACCGUUUCCACCCAGACACUCCCAUUCCAUCAAGUGGGGGUAAGAAGGAUCAAUGAGAUAAUGGAAGCGAAAGCGCUUUGCAAACUGUAAAGCUCUGGAGAAAGUGUGGACGUUUAUGCAAUUCUGGAAGGUCUCCUGGUGGGGACCCCUGGGAA
rnacentral:lncRNA from 1 species